AUUGAACGCUGGCGGCAGGCCUAACACAUGCAAGUCGAACGGUAACAGGGAUCAGCUUGCUGAUUCGCUGACGAGUGGCGGACGGGUGAGUAAUGUCUGGGAAACUGCCUGAUGGAGGGGGAUAACUACUGGGAACGGUAGCUAAUACCGCAUAACGUCGCAAGACGAAAGAGGGGGACCUUCGGGGCUCUUGCCAUCGGAUGUGCCCAGAUGGGAUUAGCUAGUAGGUGGGGUAACGGCUCACCUAGGCGACGAUCCCUAGCUGGUCUGAGAGGAUGACCAGCCACACUGGAACUGAGACACGGUCCAGACUCCUACGGGAGGCAGCAGUGGGGAAUAUUGCACAAUGGGCGCAAGCCUGAUGCAGCCAUGCCGCGUGUAUGAAGAAGGCCUUCGGGUUGUAAAGUACUUUCAGCGGGGAGGAAGGGAGUAAAGUUAAUACCUUUGCUCAUUGACGUUACCCGCAGAAGAAGCACCGGCUAACUCCGUG
rnacentral:rRNA from 1 species